UGUGAGAAGAGUUCAGGAUGACUCUGAGUGUUUGGUCUUGAACAGAUAGAAGAUUAAGAUAGAAAGACUCCAGCUGGAACAGGCUUGGGCAGAGAGGAGCUUGGGGAUGUAAAGAGGAAGAUGUAUGUUACACGCUGUGGUUACCAUUCCUUGUAUCCUCUAGAACACAUUGUCCCCAUUCCUGAUGGGGGAUGGCAGUGUGAUUGGCUUUGGUUGGUGGGUCAUUGCAUGUAAAAUGAAGCAGGGGAAUGAAAUGUGCCCCCAAGGGUGAUCUCAACCUCUUGUGCUUUUACAUCCUUAUGAGAAGAGGUUUCUCUACUAGCUGUGGUCUUCUGACCUGGUCCUCCAGUGAUUGUCAGUGAGACACUUACCCAGCUACAGGUAGACCAGGGCUGUCUGCUGAGCCCACCUUAGGUCAUCAGACCCUCACUGACCUGCAGGUCCAAGAGGAUCAAUGACUGCUAUAAUAAGUGACUGAGUUUUGAAGGAAUCUGCAGAAGUUUUAUGGCAGUAACUCACAAAUAGAGCCACUAAACAGAGAAGUGAAAUAGAAAUUUGGAGGUAGCAGUAUGGAGUUCAGAAGAUGUCUGGGCUAGAGAGAGAAAUUUAGGAGUUAUUGGAAUAUUAAUGAUAUUUAAAGCCUCGGGAUGAAAUGAGAUCACCAUGGGAGGGAAGGUGGUAGAGAAGGUGACCAAGGAUUGUAUUACUGCACUGUUAGAAGAUUCUAGAAAAGAGGCAGCCAGCAGCAAAAACUGAAAAGAAGAAACCAUUGAGAUCGAAGGAAAACUGGUUGCCUGAAGUAGACAAAAAGAAUUAGUUUUUUUUUUUUUAAUUAAAAAAAUUUUUUUCCACUGUACAUCAUGGGGACCAAGUUACACUUACAUGUAUACAUUUUUUUCCCACCCUUUGUUCUCUUGCAAUAUAAGUAUCUAGACAUAGUUAUCAAUGCUAUUCAGCAGGAUCUCAUUGUAAAUCCAUUCCAAGUUGCAUCCGAUAACACCAAGCUCCCAAUCCCUCCCACUCCCACCCCCUGGUCAGCCACAAGUCUAUUCUCCAAGUCCAUAAUUUUCUUUUCUGUGGAAAUGUUCAUUUUUGCUGUAUAUUAGAUUCCAGUUAUAAGUGAUAUCAUAUGGUAUUUGUCUUUGUCUUUCUGGCUCAUUUCACUCAGUAUGAGAGUCUCUAGUUCCAUCCAUGUUGCUGUAAAUGGCAUGAUAUUCUUUUUUUAUGGCUGAGUAGUAUUCCAUUGUGUAUAUAUACCACAUCUUCCUAUUCCAAUCAUCUGUUGAUGGACAUUUGGGUUGUUUCCAUGUCCUGGCUAUUGUGAAUAGUGCUGCAAUGAACAUGCGGGUGCAUGUGUCCCAAGAGUAGGAUUGCAGGGUCAUAUGGUAGUACUAUGUAUAGAUUUCUGAGGUAUCUCCAAACUGUUCUCCACAGUGGCUGUACCAGUUUACAUUCCCACCAGCAGUGCAGGAGGGUUCUGUUUUCUCCACAAACCCUCCAGCACUUGUAUUUGUGGACUUAUUAAUAAUGAUGGCCAUUUUGACUGGUGUGAGGUGGUAUCUCAUGGUAGCUUUGAUUUGCAUUUCUCUUAUAAUCAGUGAUGUUGAGCAUUUUUUCAUGUGCUUGUUGGCCAUCUGUAUGUCUUCCUUGGAGAACAAUCUAUUCAGGUCUUUGGCCAUUUUUCCAUUGGGUGAUUGGCUUUUUUGCUGUUGAGUUGUAUAAGUUGCUUAUAUAUUCUAGAGAUUAAGCCCUUGUCCGUUGCAUCAUUUGAAACUAUUUUCUCCCAUUCUGUAAGUUGUCUUUUUGGUUUCUUUUGGGUUUCCUUUGUUGUGCAAAAGCUUUUCAGUUUGAUUAGGUCCCAUGGGUUUAUUUUUGCUCUUAUUUCUUUUUUUUUUUUAUUAUUAUUUUCCCACUGUACAGCAAGGGGGUCAGGUCAUCCUUAGAUGUAUACAUUGCAGUUACAGUUUUUUUUCCCCCACCCUUUCUUCUGUUGCGACAUGAGUAUCUAGACAUAGUUCUCAAUGCUAUUCAGCAGGAUCUCCUCGUAAAUCUAUUCUAGGUUGUGUCUGAUAAGCCCAAGCUCCCGAUCCCUCCCACUCCCUCCCCCUCCCAUCAGGCAGCCACAAGUCUCUUCUCCAAGUCCAUGAUUUUCUUUUCUGAGGAGAUGUUCAUUUGUGCUGGAUAUUAGAUUCCAGUUAUAAGUGAUACCAUAUGGUAUUUGUCUUUGUCUUUCUGGCUCAUUUCACUCAGGAUGAGAUUCUCUAGUUCCAUCCAUGUUGCUGCAAAUGGCAUUAUGUCAUCCUUUUUUAUGGCUGAGUAGUAUUCCAUUGUGUAUAUAUACCACUCUUCCGAAUCCAAUCAUCUGUCGAUGGACAUUUGGAUUGUUUCCAUGUCCUGGCUAUUGUGAAUAGGGCUGCAAUGAACAUGCGGGUGCAUGUGUCUCUUUUAAGUAGUUUGCUCUUAUUUCUGUUGCCUUGGGAGACUGACCUGAGAAAAUAUUCACGAGGUUGAUGUCGGAGAGUGUUUUGCCUAUGUUUUCUUCUAGGAGUUUGAUGGUGUCCUGUCUUAUAUUUAAGUGGUUCAGCCAUUUUGAGUUUAUUUUCGUGAAUGGUGUGAGGGUGUGUUCAAGUUUCAUUGAUUUGUAUGCAGCUGUCCAGGUUUCCCAGCAAUGCUUGCUGAAUAGACUUUCUUUUUCCCAUUUUAUCUUCUUGCCUCCCUUGUCAAGGAUUAAUUGACCAUAGGUGUCAGGGUUUAUUUCUUUGUUCUCUAUUCUGUUCCAUUGGUCUGUCUGUCUGUUUUGAUACCAGUACCACACUGUUUUGAUGACUGUGGCUUUGUAAUAUUGCUUGAGAGAGUUAUGCCCCCUGCUUGGUUUUUGUUCCCCCUGCUUGGUUUUUGCCUUGGCCAUUCUGGGUCUUUUGUGGUUCCAUAUAAAUUUUUGGAUUGUUUGUUCUAGUUCUGCGAAAAAUGUCAUGGGUAAUUUGAUAGGGAUUGCAGUGACCCUGUAGAUUGCCUUGGGUAGCAUGGCCAUUUUUGCAAUAUUGAUUUUCCCAAUCCAGGAACAUGGAAUAUCUUUCCAUUUCUUUACAUCUUCUUUAAUUUCAUUGAUUAAAGUUUUAUAGUUCUCGGCAUAUAGGUCCUUUACCUCUUUGGUCAGGUGUAUUCUGAGGUAUUUGAUUUUUGGGGGUGCAAUUUUAAAAGGUGUUGUAUUUCUGUAUUCCUUUUCUAAUAUUUCAUUGUUGUUAUACAGAACUGUGACUGAUUUCUGAAUGUUAAUCUUAUAACCUGCUACUUUGCUGAAUUUAUUAAUCAGUUCAAGUAGUUUUUGGGUUGAGUCCUUAGGGUUUUCUAUGUAUAGUAUCAUGUCCUCUGCAUACAGUGACAGUUUUAUCUCUUCUCUUCCUAUUUGGAUGCCUUUUAUUUUUUUGUUUGUCUGAUCGUUGUGGCUAGGACUUCCAAAACUAUUUGGAAUAGCAGUGGUGAGAGUGGGCAUCCCUUGUUGUUCCAGGUUUGAGUGAGAAGGCUUUCAGUUUUUCUCCAUUGAGUAUUAUAUUUGCUGUGGGGUUGUCAUCAAUAGCUUUGAUUAUGUCCAGGAAUGUUCCCUCUGUACCCACUUUGGCAAGAGUUUUUAUCAUGAAUGGAUGUUGGACUUUGUCAAAUGCUUUUUCUGCGUCUAUUGAAAUGAUCAUGUAGUUUUUAUUUUUCUUUUGUUAAUGUGGUGUAUGAUGUUGAUUGAUUUGCAUAUGUUGAACCAUCCUUGUGAACCUGGGAUGAACCCUACCUGGUCAUGGUGUAUGAUCUUUUUGAUAUGUUGUUGGAUUUGGUUGGCUAAAAUUUUGUUGAAAUUUUUGCAUCUAUAUUCAUCAACGAUAUUGGCCGAUAGUUUUCUUUUUUGGUGUUACUUUUGUCUGGUUUUGGAAUUAGGGUGAUGGUGGCAUCAUAGAAUGUCUUUGAGAGUGAUCCUUAUUCUUCAAUCUUUUGAAAAAGAUUAAGGGGAAUGGGGAUAAGUUCCUCUUUAUAUGAUUGGUAGAAUUCACCUGUGAAGCCAUCUGGUCCCGGACUUUUAUUUGUAGGGAGUGUUUUUAUAACAUAUUCAAUUUCAUUUCUAGUGAUUGGUCUGUUUAGUUGGUCUAUUUCUUCUUGAUUCAGUUUUGGCAGGCUAUAAGAUUCUAGAAGAUUGUGCAUUUCUUCCAGAUUGUCAAAUUUGUUGGCAUAUAGUUGUUCAUAGUAUUCUCUUAUGGUAUUUUGUAUUUCUGCAGAAUCUGUUGUGAUUUCUCCUUUUUCAUUUCUAAUUUUAUUUAUUUGGAUUUUUUCUCUCCUCUUUUUAGUGAGUCUGGCCAGGGGGUUGUCAGUUUUGUUUACCUUUUCAAAGAACCAGCUCUUAGUUUUAUUAAUUUUCUCUAUUGUUUUUUGAAUCUCUAUUUUAUUGAUUUCCUCUUUGAUCUUUAUAGUUUCCUUCCUUCUGCUGACUUUAGGUCUUUUUUGUUCUUUUUUCAAUUCGUUUAGGUGGAGGGUUACGUUGUCAAUGUGAGAUCUUUUUUGAGGAAGGCCUGUAUCACUAUGAAUUUCCCUCCGAGCACUGCUUUUGUGGCAUCCCAUAGAUUUUGAGAGGUUGUGUCUUCAUUAUCAUUUGUCUCAAGGUAUUUUUGAACUUCCUUCUUGAUUUCCUCAUUGACCCAUUGGUUUUUUAGUAGCAUGUUGUUUAGUUUCCAUGUAGUAGGUUUUUUCUCAUUUCUUUUCCUGUGGUUGUUUUCUUUUUUUUAAUUUUUAUUUUAUUUUAUUUUUUGUCUUUUUGCUAUUUCUUGGGCCGCUCUCGUGGCAUAUGGAGGUUCCCAGGCUAGAGGUCGAAUCGGAGCUGUAGCCACUGGCCUACGCCAGAGCCACAGCAACUCGGGAUCCGAGCCGCGUCUGCAACCUACACCACAGCUCACGGCAACACCGGAUUGUUAACCCACUGAACAAGGGCAGGGACCAAACCCGCAACCUCAUGAUUCCUAGUCCGAUUCGUUAACCACUGCGCCACGAUGGGAACUCCAUCCUGUUGUUGUUUUCUAGUUUCAUGCCAUUGUGGUCAGAUAGGAUACUUGAAAUAAUUUCUCUGCUUCUAAAUUUGUUGAGGUUAGCUUGGUGUCCCAAUAUAUGGUCGAUUCUUGAGAAUGUUCCAUGUGCACUUGAGAAGAAUAUGAUUUUGAUUUUUUUGGAUGUAGUGUCCUGAAUAUGUCAAUUAAGUCUAACUUUCCUAUUUUUUCCUUUUUGAUCUCUGUUGCUUUAUUGGUUUUCUGUCUAGAGAAUCUCUCCAUUGGUGUGAGUAGGAUAUUAGUCUCCUACUAUGAUUGUAUUCCCCUCAAUUUCUCCCUUUAUGUCUGUUAAUAUUUGUUGUAUGAUCUGGGUGCUCCUAUAUUUGGGGCAUAUAUGUUGAUGAUAGUAAUGUCUUCUUCUUGAAUGGAUCCCUUAAUCAUUAAAUAGUAUCCUUUUUUGUCUUUAUGUCUUUUGUUUUAAAGUCUAUUUUGUCUGAUAUGAAUAUUGCAACUCCUGCUUUCCUGUCACGUCUAUUGGCAUGAAAUAUUUUUUCCCACCCCUUCACUUUCAAUCUAUAUGUGUCCUUUGUCCUAAGGUGAGUUUCUUGUAGGCAGCAGGUUGAAGGUUUUUGCUUUUUUAUCCACUCAGCCACUCUGUGUCUUUUGAUUGGAGUAUUCAGUCCACUGACAUUUUGGGUGAUAAUUGAUAGAUGAUUAUUUAUUGCCAUUUUAAACCUCGUGUUCCAGUUGAUUCUAUGAUUCUUCAUUCUUCUUUUCUUUUUUUGGUUGGAAGGUCUCCAAUUAUUUUCUGCUUGAGUGGUUUUUUUUUUUUUCAUUUUUUGUGAAUUGAAUGCAAUGUUUGUUUUUGAUUUGUGGUUGCCCUGUUUUUUAAGUAUGCUAACCCCUUCCUAUAUUUGUGUGUUUUAGCCUGAUAGUCCUGUGUGUUCAAAUACUUCAUUACUAUACU
rnacentral:lncRNA from 1 species